GACGAACGCUGGCGGCGUGCCUAAUACAUGCAAGUAGAACGCUGAAGAGAGGAGCUUGCUCUUCUUGGAUGAGUUGCGAACGGGUGAGUAACGCGUAGGUAACCUGCCUUGUAGCGGGGGAUAACUAUUGGAAACGAUAGCUAAUACCGCAUAACAAUAGGUGACACAUGUCAUUUAUUUGAAAGGGGCAAUUGCUCCACUACAAGAUGGACCUGCGUUGUAUUAGCUAGUAGGUGAGGUAACGGCUCACCUAGGCGACGAUACAUAGCCGACCUGAGAGGGUGAUCGGCCACACUGGGACUGAGACACGGCCCAGACUGCUACGGGAGGCAGCAGUAGGGAAUCUUCGGCAAUGGGGGCAACCCUGACCGAGCAACGCCGCGUGAGUGAAGAAGGUUUUCGGACCGUAAAGCUCUGUUGUAAGUCAAGAACGAGUGUGAGAGUGGAAAGUUCACACUGUGACGGUAGCUUACCAGAAAGGGACGGCUAACUACGUG
rnacentral:rRNA from 1 species